UUAGGAAUCUGCCUAUUAGUGGGGGACAACAUUCCGAAAGGAAUGCUAAUACCGCAUACGCCCUACGGGGGAAAGCAGGGGAUCUUCGGACCUUGCGCUAAUAGAUGAGCCUAAGUCAGAUUAGCUAGUUGGUGGGGUAAAGGCCUACCAAGGCGACGAUCUGUAGCGGGUCUGAGAGGAUGAUCCGCCACACUGGGACUGAGACACGGCCCAGACUCCUACGGGAGGCAGCAGUGGGGAAUAUUGGACAAUGGGCGAAAGCCUGAUCCAGCCAUGCCGCGUGUGUGAAGAAGGCCUUUUGGUUGUAAAGCACUUUAAGCGAGGAGGAGGCUACCGAGAUUAAUACUCUUGGAUAGUGGACGUUACUCGCAGAAUAAGCACCGGCUAACUCUGUGCCAGCAGCCGCGGUAAUACAGAGGGUGCGAGCGUUAAUCGGAUUUACUGGGCGUAAAGCGUGCGUAGGCGGCUUUUUAAGUCGGAUGUGAAAUCCCUGAGCUUAACUUAGGAAUUGCAUUCGAUACUGGGAAGCUAGAGUAUGGGAGAGGAUGGUAGAAUUCCAGGUGUAGCGGUGAAAUGCGUAGAGAUCUGGAGGAAUACCGAUGGCGAAGGCAGCCAUCUGGCCUAAUACUGACGCUGAGGUACGAAAGCAUGGGGAGCAAACAGGAUUAG
rnacentral:rRNA from 1 species